UUCUGAUGGGUGGUUUAGGAGGAAUCCUUUGCCAAGUGCAUAGUUACGUGCAGUGCAGCAGAACAGACCUUGAACCUAAAUAAAUUGCAGGUAGGCUUCUGCCUUCCUCCUUUCAGGCUUUUUAUAAGGAAUAUGUAGAACAGUUUCUUGCUCAAAUGAAGAAAUAGCAUUUUACUAUUAUUGUAUAAAAGGAAAACACAAUGAGCCCUUAAAUAACACUUCUUGCUCCACCUCCCAUGACCUCCUGGGGUUUCCAUAUGUCUUACAGUUGCCUGGAGAGCUGUGCUACUGCCGGCUUCACAGUGGCGGCUGUGUCUCAGCAGCUAGCACACGAUGCCAGCUGAAUGUGCGUGGGUGUCUUUUGUGUGUUUCCGAAUCAAAGGAGUUUCAAUGCUGAAAAGCAUCUUCUCUUGAGGAGAAGAAAUGGAGCUUACUGUACCAGAGCUGUGGGCAGGCACAGAUCCUGUGGCAUUGUUACUGUAAAAAGCGCUGAAGCACUCCCAUAAAAAACUCAGCAGUUAAUAGUGCCAUACGUUGUGAUUAUUAUCUUUGUUCAUGUCUUCCUGCUCCAAUGAUUUUAUUAACAGCAGGAAUUUGCAAAACCAUCCUAGCAUUGCAGUUCACAGAUGUGUAAUAUCUGCUGCCUUCCUGUCUGGACAAUGAGCUGUCACAAGUGAAAAAAAAUUACUGGAGCUUGGAUUUGUUGCUUUUAGGAUAGUCCUCUUCCUAUGCUGCUAGUAAUAACAUACAGAUGAAUGGUAACUACUCAUGUGGUUUAGAAGAUUGGCAGUGUGUAAAACCCAGUUUGAAAUGACUUUACAAAGGCUUUUUUAAAAGAUACUACAUACACUACCUUAGUUUUUGUAGGAUCUCAUUUCUUGAAACACAGCUCCUUCAUGUUAUGUACCUGGAAAGAAACUCCUCCUUCCCUGACCGGCCCAGCUGAAAGCACGGUGCUGUGCACUUCGUUCCUUACCACAGGCACAUGGAACCGUUCUUGGGAAGCAUCUUGCAAAUACAAAGAAAAAAAAGCUGAGGUGAGGAUGCAAUGAAUUGUUGACUGUCUGUAAGGACCACAGCCUAAGAUGCUCAGCAACGAAAGGCCAACAGCAACUCACACGAGCGUGCUGUUUGUCAGCUCAGAACAAAGCCAGCUGUAGAUGAUGUAAAAUAGGACUGGGAAUGGUGAUUGAGUUCUGGAUGGCCUGAAGAGCCAGCCACUGCAUAACUCAGUUUGGCAGUUUUUAGUUUGUGUAUACAGUAUACAAGCUGUGCUGUGUACAGGCUCUCAAAUGGUCGCCAGCUCUUCUCAGCAGUGUACAGCUUGGAUAUGCGUGAGCAAACCUGUGAAUUGGUCCUGUUACCCUGAGAAGUCUUCUGUAGUGCCUCUCGCCGUCAGGCCAGCCACUGUUUUCUCCCCAGAAUGAAGAACUUCAGAGCAUUUUCUAAUACUUUAGGACUCUUAAGAUACUAACGCACGUUCCAGCUUGGCCUCAGAAAAGCCAUCUCUGUUUGUCUCAGAGGGGCUCCCUGCUUGUUUGUGGUAAGCGCAGAGCAGGAAACAAGCUCUGCAGCAGCAUUAGCUUGUGCUGGAUGCUGAGUGCCAUAAAAGGCAUUUAAAUUAUGUAUGUGCCUCCUGGCCUGCCUUUGAGUUUAUCUUCAGCAAGCUCAGCUGAUUUGAGCCUGAUGCUAUCAUAAUGGGGCUUUGAUACUUUCAUAUGUGUCUUCUCCUUUAACAAGACAGAAAUAGCUUUAAACAUUUUCCUGUAUUUGGCUUUUCCAGGAAGCUUAGCACACUUGUAUCUAUUGCUUGCAUUUCCUAUUUUGCCUUUUCAACAGUGAAAUUGUUGAAAUGAUUGCCUGAAGCCCAGACUCCUUGGAGUUAGCAGGAAGUUGCUGAGAUUUCCCAGGCAUGUGCUUUAUGCUUUAUUUCCAAACCAGAAAACUUUCUCUUAAUCGCAAGAAUUUAUUUCUUAGAGGCAUGCAUUUUUGAUAACUGAUUUUACAGCCAGGAAAAACGUGGCAGAUCUGAGCUACCUGUAAAUCGGUAAAGUAUGGACACAGUUGGAAAAACAAGGUAAUAACUCAGACUGACACAAGGGAAACAAAGAAAAGCUGUCAGAGUGGAAGUUUUAUAGGUGAAUUCCUCAUAGUGAGGUUGGUGCACCUAUCUUGUUUAUAUUUGCAGUAGUGAUGGCAGCACGAGAAUUAGGCGUAUAGUAAACUUACAGAAGCAAUAGUAUCAGAAGGUUGCACAAGAACACCCUGGCUAAGGCCUGAAGUUCUUUUAAAAAAGGGGAGAGGGGUAAUUUCAUAGUGUGAUGGGGAAGAGCAUAUGGUUAAGAAGGCACUCUCAAAGCUCCUCUGUUGAAAGUGACAAAGGAGGGAUAGCAGGGGUUUUGGCUGAACACAAGAUGAGGAGGAGCCAAGAGUAAGAUACAGCUGUCAGAAAAUGUUUUCCUGGAUAUUUUGGUCAGUAUAUUUUUACUAGAGUCAUGUAACAACUCAUAACAUCACACUGAUUUUUUUUAAUGUAUAAAAAUAAUAACAAACUCAGUCUGGUACAGAAGAGAUUUCGUGGAAAUGAAGCUUUUAUGGAAGCUGGCUUAUCAAGGUAGAAUGAAGUCAUAAGGCAAAGCACAAGGGUAAAUAGGUAAAAACUGUCUGAUAGUAGCGUUAGCCUGGAUGUUAGUAACAGCUUUUAGACACUGAUUUGAGUAAGAUUCUGAUGCAGCAGAAUCAAUGACAACGAGCACUGUAAAUAGCUUUAGGAUAAAACCUGGUUGUUUCCAGAAGCGAUGCUGUGGGAUGGUUACCUGCAAGACAGGGAGCAGGUCUCACCCGGCUCCCUUGCACAGCCACGAUGAAAAGCUGAGCUGAGUUUAGCACCUGCCCUUUCAGAGACGUCAGCACAUGGUGGGCACGUUAAGUGGUCUUCAAAGAUCCUGUUUUCACUCGUUUCCUCUGUUCUGCUUGCCAGCGCUUUGCAGCGCUGUGUGUCACACAAAGAGCUUAUCUAACCUCAUCUUUGCUCUGACUGGCUUAUUUUACGUUUUCAAGGUAACACAGUUUAUAAUUUAAUACCAAUCUGUGUUUCCUUUCUGUUCAUCUGUUUUCUUAGUACAAAGAUAUUGACCUACUAGCUUGGAGGCAGGGAAAGAAAGGGUGAUUUUAUUUCCUAUUGAACAACCAAACUGAUAUGAUCUGUGUUUGCAUCGUUAGAUUGGAAGAAAGAAAGGAGUUCAACCAUUAGGCUCUUAAGUCAAGUUAUUGCUAAAUUCUGCUUGCUUGCUCCUGCUUUGCUCAAUAAACUGUAAAUCGUAGCAACGUGCCCCCAGCAUCCUAGCUUGGACGUUCAAUUACUUGUGGCCAUAAAAGCCGAUAAUCUCCUGGUCAAUGAUGCAAGCAACACUUCCCAUUUCAGUUAACUGAAAUUGCUCAACAAUUACAGCACCUUCCUCCCCUUUCACGUGCAGCCCACAGACCUCUGGGCAGAAGCAGCCUUUCACAAGAGCCACAGCACGAGGGAAAUCUUUCUGGCGCUUGUUAACAAUUCCAAUCUAAUCCCACUCACCAGGAAAACCACAACUGUUACCGCCUCGGGGCUUCUGCAGUUGGACCAAGUAACUCCAAUGCAGUUCCUCAUCAGUAAAUGUGUAAUCUGCAAAGCAACUGUUGCAGGUGGUGUUAGCUGAUGUACUUCAUUGCCUAGUGAGCAAAGAAAUGCAGGAUUAGGAAAACACAGAGUCCGAAUUCAGCUUUAAAAGGCAGGAUGGCCCAAAGACUAGAGGUAAAGCCUUUUUUAUUUUUGGAUAGCCCAUCAAGUAACACUAAUUAAUUCCUCCUUACCUUUGCUGAAAGAGGAAGGCUUGACUCUACCUCGCCUUUGUAAAGGUGGAAGGAAGAGGGGCGGAAGUAAGAUGGAUCAUUUAAGGAAAUCUCAGAGUUAAAUGGGAUGGCAUUCUGAGACCAGUGAGUUUUUACUGCUUCAACCUGCAUGUAAAAGCUUUCCAUCUCUGUGACAUGCCUUUCAGAGCACAGGGUCCUCUGGCAAUCGCAGUGCAGGAGGGUACUCCAAGCUUGUUGGUAGGCAAGGUUAAAACAUUUAUGUAUGCUCUCUUUAAAAACACAUAUAUACCUUGCUUGUGGCUGAAGAGAACAUGCAGAAAAGAUGUGAUUUAAGAAACUCCUCUGAAUAACUUAUUAAACAUGAUACUGUGUCAACAUGGGCAAUGUUACUGCAGGGCCAUUAGUUGUCUUCCACAUGGCACUGAGUCCACCAUCCCAGAGCCCUGAUGAUGAAGGCAGCAUGUAUUAUUUACUUUCCCUUAGUGCCUACAAACCUCUCUGCAUCUGGUGCUGUAAAAGCCAGUUGUAAGAAGUCAUAUCAGUUUCAAAAGGCUGAUGGCUAAGGAAACGAAAAAAGACAAAGGAUUGAAAAACAUAUUUUUCUUGUGGAGAUGCGGAAUGGCAAUCAGUGGGGGUUGAGAUUUAUCUGAGAUCUCAGAGAAGUCUACAGGAGAGCUGGGAAUGGAGCAUGGUUCUCCGAGUCCCACUUCACUCCUUCAGCUCAAUGGUCUGUGAACCCUCAACAUGCUAGUUUCCCACUCCUGUAUUUUUGCUGGAGAGCCACGCUUCAGGAGCUCGUUUCAGAAUCUGUGAAAAUGUAGGUGACCAGCCUGAACUCAGCCCAGUAGCAAAUUAUAGGUCCUAGUUCCAGUAAGAGGAAUGAAGAGGAAUGAUAUUGAAGAAUUUUAGUGCACUAAUGGAAAAAUGGUUAUGCUGUGCAUGAGAGCCUCAUUCAGAGAUACAGCUCUGGCUCAGGAAACAGGCUGGGAUUUCAAGAUCUGCUACUGGGCAAAGUUAUAAACACUCAAAGUAUCAGCAAGUGAGAUUUGACUGAAAUAACUGCAGAAAUGGCACCUGAGGGUGAUGUGGUAGAAAGCAAAAAGAAACCUGACAAAGCCAGUCAUCUUUUCUACCUGGUGCAAUACAGCAGGGGUUCGUUGGCCGCAGCUCGGUGCUUCAGAAAAAGUCAUCACAACAGCGGCAGCAGCACUGUGAGCUGUUCUGUGGCAUCUUCUCAGGGGCUCUGAUGGAGAUGGCCCAGAGAGUGUCCUGGGAGCUGGAGGUCCUCACCUCGCUUCACCACCUGAUCAUGUAAACACGGAACUGGUCGACGUCCCCUUUGUGGAUCUAACAUACCUGCCGUCAGCGCUGCCUCCACACGAAUGGUGAAGGAGGAAGAGAAAAAGCAAAGAGCCCCACGACUGCUUCAGUCUGACCCAGAUACGCACAAGGAUUCCCCUCCACACCUCUUAAAACUCAAAAAGGAUUCCCCUUUUACCUUUCAGUAAGUUCUCCAGCUAAUCUAACCUCCGUGCUGCAAGUCUGCCGUCUACUUAUACAAAAACAUUUGCAGAACAAUCCUUUUUCCAUUCUGGAUCCUGGGUGUUGCUCGCUUUCUGUAGAAGGGCUAGGAAGGUGCACAGUGCGAGAUGUCAGCAGAAGCCUCGUGUUGCCUCUUCUGAUAGGAUCUGCCUUAAGCAACGUGCUCUAGACUGAGAAGGAAACCAAACCAGUUUGUGCCAGUGGCUGCUGCAGCAGUUCUGGGCUGACACCAAGCCCACCAGAAACCCCAAAGUAACUACUGUAAGCCAGAGGAGAAAACUUCUAUAUAUACGUGUGUGUAUUUAUGCCACUUCAUUGCAUCUUUUAGGAAGAGAGCUAUUCCUGUACCUAGGUAGCUCAUAACAGGAGACUGAAACUAACUGUGCAGAGCUAACAGAGCUGCAAUUUGAAAUCACGACUGAGGAUGAUUUGAAAUCAGGACUGUGGAUGAAGGCAUACAAUUUAAAACACACUGCAUCCAAAUGCAUAGAUGUUCUAUUACCACCACAAUGGGGUUUUUAAGAAACCGUAGCAAAGCGCAGACAACCUGUCUCACCCGUCACACUGUUCUUUCUCUUUCACUAUUCAAGUGUGUAGGAGCCCCUCUACUGGACCAGAAUCCUACUGCACUAUCCGGACAUAACCAAAAGGCAGGCCUGACCUCAGGUGUAGCUGUUUUGCUUUGUUUGCCUCCUAACAAUGCUUUAAAAUGUCACGUAGGAGACUACAAAAGUGUCACUGCAUUAAACCGCUGUGCCCCAGUCCAACAGAGGCAGCUUUGGCCUCUCUGUGCACCUCCAAAGAGGCUGUUUCAUGAGCUAGCGCAGCCCCUGAAGGAACAGAGACCUUUGCACUGCUUGCUUGCUCUUUAAAGAUGUGAUGUUUUUAGUGUGGAUGUAAUUUGGAAAGGUUGAGUGCUGUAACACUUCGGCUGUAAGCACUGAGGUGGAA